GACGAACGCUGGCGGCGUGCUUAACACAUGCAAGUCGAACGAAGUGGCGAACGGGUGAGUAACGCGUAAUCAACCUGCCCUUCAGAGGGGGACAACAGUUGGAAACGACUGCUAAUACCGCAUACUGAAGGCGGGGGUUGCGUCUGCUUAGCUGGUUGGAGGGGGAACGGCCCACCAAGGCGAUGAUCAGUAGCCGGGCUUGGAGGAUGAACGGCCACAUUGGGACUGGGACACGGCCCAGAAUCCGACGGGAGGCAGCCGGGGGGAAUCUUCCGCAAUGGACGAAAGUCUGACGGAGCAACGCCGCGGGAGUGAUGACGGCCUUCGGGUUGUAAAGCUCUGUUAAUCGGGACGCGGUACCGGAAGAGAAAGCCACGGCUAACUACGUGCCAGCAGCCGCGGUAAUAC
rnacentral:rRNA from 1 species